AAUAGCUAUUUUUUUCUGAUCCUUGGCCUCUUCCCACCCUCCACCCACAAGUAGGCCCUAGGGUCUAUUGUUUCCUUCGUGAUGUCCAUUAGUUCUCAUAAUUUAGCACCCAAUUCUAAGUAAGAAAAUAUGGUAUUUGGUUUUCUGUUCCUGUGUUAGUCUGCUGAGGAUUAUGACCUCUAGCUCCAAUCAUGUCCUUUAAA